ACGAGAAAAGUCUACAGAAAGUAAGCUUGGAGAUUUUCUCAUCUUUAAGAAAAAAGUUAAGUGAAAUGGGAGAUGCUCCUUAAGGCUCCACAGCAAAGAUCAGUGCAGCACUUUGAAUGGCAGCUUCGAAUUUUGUGCAGUUAAAGGGAAAAAGUUUGCAUCUGGUAGAGUUGCACAGGUGGUGUUUAUGAGACUUGGGAGCUGGGGAUGAGCACAACACUCCGGAUAUAUAUUACUCUGAGGCUUAAAUACAACUUUUCUUGCACUUUGAGAGUCUAACUUAAACUCCUUCAAGGAAAAGGUCGACUGGAUCCUUUUAAAGCAUGCUGUACAUUGCUGUUUGGAGGAAAAAAAAUGUCUGUCAAGAAACAACCAAGUGGUUAAGCCUUUCUAGAGGAGAAAAAAAAUGAAGAGCAACCCAUUGUAAUACAAUCGAGGAAGAUCAAAGGAAGCAAUUUAUUCAAGCAAGCUCAAACCAUUUUAGGGAAAUGUUUUUGAUUGUGGUUAAUGAUGUAAUCAAGCUAUCAUAGCAAACUGCCCACAGGUUGGAGGUGCUGGUAAAUUAUAGCUCCUCUACCACAGAGAAGAUAAUCUCUUAGAACAAGGGAAAUGAAAUUUGAAGAUAAAACUAAAUAUAACAUUUUUUUGCACCUUCAAAAUGUAUAUGAGACUUUGUUGAUUUGAUAAUGGGUCUAAUAUGACUAUAUUUUAAACGAAAGAAAACAGCAUUUCAAAUCAGAAUGAAACAUGUUGAAAUUAUGACAUGAACAAAGGAAGAAAUAAAUGGAUAUUUU